rnacentral:rRNA from 1 species
GACGGAGGAUGCAAGCGUUAUCCGGAAUGAUUGGGCGUAAAGCGUUCGCAGGUGGCUAUUCAAGUCUGCUGUCAAAGACCGGGGCUUAACCCUGGCCAGGCGGUGGAGACUACUAAGCUUGAGUACGGUAGGGGCAGAGGGAAUUUCCGGUGGAGCGGUGAAAUGCGUAGAGAUCGGAAAGAACACCAAGGGCGAAGGCACUCUGCUGGGCCGACACUGACACUGAGAGACUAGAGCUAGGGGAGCAAACAGG